rnacentral:misc_RNA from 1 species
GUCAAGUUAUAACUGUCGUUCUAUGUAUAUGUGAUUAACAAACAAUGCCUUUAUGAAUACAUACAUGUAUACCCGAUAUGUGAACAUACACUGCUUAACCUAUAGAUGUCUUCCUCAAAUAUUCCCUAUGAAUAGCUUGUAGCUGACUCUGAAUACUGCAUUUUUGAAUAUUGUAUAUGUAACAUUACAACAUAUAAUUCAAAUAAUUUUUCUCGGAUAUAUUUAACUGGCAAGAAUACAUUCAUACUCACUUUGUUAAUAUUUUCAAAAAGGAUAUAUUUCAGUAUAGUUGUGAAAAAAUAUAUAUAAUCUGAAAAAGUCAUAUUAUGUAUACAAACUUUUUGUCAUGCUUUUUUUAUAUCAUUUUUUUUAGAUUUUAUUUAACAUAUUCUACAAGAAAAUAUUUAAUUUUGCUAUCCUAGUCAUUAAUAUACAUGUAUAUAUACAUUAUGUACGUGCAUAAAUGUAUAGGAUACAUAUAAUGUUUCAGAUCAGUUUACUCUUUGUACUGUAUAACUCUAUUACAGAUUUUAAUGUAUUUUAAAUGUGACCAAAUUUUUGUUUACUGCCAGAAAGGAAAAUUAUAUUAAAUGACAUUGAAUAACAGUCUAUUGUGAAAUUAGUUAUUUAUGCGUUGGGGAAAUAUACAUAGUUACACUGUAAGCUUAAAACUGUGUAAAUACCCCAGGUAAUAAAAUCAGAACUUGAAUGUGAUAAUUCACACAUCUGCAUAUUUAAUACCCACAGGUAUUGUUUGACUAAAGAAAAUGCGUAAUUAACCACCAGUGUAAAUAACCACUUUUACAGUAAACAAAAUCUUUUGAAAAAGUCAAAGAGGGUAAGCAGAUCUGAUGUAUACUUCUUGAAUAUUUUAUACUUUACAUAAUACUUGUAUUGUUUAUAUAUUAAAAAGUGGAAUUUCAUGUUGUAGUAUGAAAUAAAUAUUUUGUACUU